UGAGAGUUUGAUCCUGGCUCAGGAUGAACGCUGGCGGCGUGGAUAAGGCAUGCAAGUCGAGCGAGACUUCGGUCUAGCGGCGAACGGGGUAGUACAAAGUAGGAACGUGCCUGUAACUCUGGGAUAACUCCGAGAAAUCGGAGCUAAUACCAGAUAGUCCCGCAAGGGUAAAGUUUCGGCGGUUACAGAUCGGCCUACUCCCCAUCAGCUAGUUGGUGAGGUAAUGGCUUACCAAGGCUAUGACGGGUAGGGGACGUGAGAGCGUGACCCCCACCACUCGCACUGAGAUACUGGCGAGACACCUACGGGUGGCUGCAGUCGAGAAUCUUCGGCAAUGGGCGCAAGCCUGACCGAGCGACGCCGCGUGCAGGAGGAAGCCCUUCGGGGUGUAAACUGCUUUUAUGAGGGAACAAGACUUCGGUUUGAGUGUACCUCAUGAAUAAGGGGCUGCUAACUCUGUGAGCUCUUGAAAAAAAGAGCUUGGCGCAGAGUGGUACUAGCAAUAGUGCCAAAGAAAACUUGGCUCAUAUGCGGGAAACAUUGGAACAACCGCGUUCUCGUUAAGUAGAGAAUUUGUUUCAAUCAAUCCGCAGGGAAGUUGAUUCAAAAAAGUGAAACCAACAUAGUAGAUGAGCAUUAUAUUAGUGUAUGGCUCAGAAAUCCGUCACGACAAUUCCUACUGAUCUCCAAUAUCAAAUCAUCCUAGGAGCAAUCCUCGGUGAUGGUUCAUUAGAAUUUGGUGGCUAUAUCGGUACAAGGCUACAACUUAAACAAAGAGAACAGAAUAAGGAGUAUAUAAGUUGGUUGUUUAAGAUGUUGUGUAAUUUGUGCCGAUCGGAACCAAAACAAAAACGAGAUACCAGCCAAUGGUAUUUCAGUACUCGUUCACUUCGGGAGCUUACGAAGCUCCAUAAACUAUUUUACUUGAAUAGCAAAAAGGUGAUACCAAGUACGAUUGGAAAUAUGUUACAAACGGGAUUGUCAUUAGCGGUUUGGUAUAUGGACGAUGGAACAUUAGACUAUCGACCGAAAAACCAUACUGCUAUUACACUAAGUACUGACUCAUUUCCUGUUGAUGGAGUAAAAAAACUUCAACAGGUACUAGAACGAAAUUUUGGGAUCGUGAGCUCGAUACAUCUUUCGUUGUGUCGUGGCAAACGGUAUCCAAAGCUGUAUAUUGGGGCGAAAAGUAGAGACAAUUUUUUGUCUUUGGUUCGACCGCAUAUAGUAAACUGUUUCCGCUAUAAGUUGCCACCACAAAUGAGUCAACCCUUCAGAGACUGAACGAAUGAAUCGAAAGAAUGAUUCUUCGUCGAUGACAGGUACCGGAUAGUCCGGAAUAUAAACUGUCAUAACACGCCAAGCUCCUUCGCUAAUUCGAAGGAUGAAAGUAUAGUCCACAAUAACUGCUAAUAGGCCAGCAGCAGCGGUAAUACAGAGGCCCCGAGCGUUAUCCGGAAUCAUUGGGCGUAAAGGAUCCGUAGGCGGCGUUGUAAGUUGCCUGUUAAAUACCCCGGCUCAACCGGGGAAGUGCAGGCAAAACUGCAAUGCUUGAGCGUGUGAGAGGCUGAUGGAACGCAUAGAGUAGGGAUGAAAUCCGUUGAUACUAUGCGGAACACCAAAGGCGAAGGCAUUCAGCUGGCACACCGCUGACGCUGAGGGAUGAAAGCCUGGGGAGCGAAACGGAUUAGAUACUUAAAUUCUUGUCGAGUGCUUCCGUUAGUACGAUGACACAAGAGGCCUGCUUAUGCAUUCGUGCAUUUACAGGUAGUCAGGGUGUCCCUCUUGACGGUGACGUCGAGAUGAGCAUCUAGCUGUAACGGUGAACCCCUUUUUUUAAAAAAAGGGCAACCCCGUGGGAAGUCGUCUGCUUUUCGAGCGGAUUGACCCCGUAGAGACUAAGCAAGUAAGAAGAUAGAAAAUGACAAAUACCCCGUCAUUUUUGUCGGAUCACAUACAGGCACUCAUUUUAGGAUCAAUAUUAGGUGAUGGAUCGCUUCGUCUUCAUAAGCCCUAUAAGAAUGCGAGAUUUUCAUUUCGACAUUCGGUAAAGCAGCAGGAUUAUUUUCAUUGGAAGGUUAGACAGUUGAAAGAAAUUUCCAGUGAAAAAAAUACAUGGCUCCAGGGUGUAAAUGGACGAGAUGGAUACGGCGGAGAAAAACUUCGCUACCAGAGUAGAGCGCUUGAAUCACUGACCGAGUUAUACCACCUGACUCAUCAAAAGAAUCAAAUGGUGAUACGGCGUAAGUGGCUCAACCUACUAACGCCACUGUCAUUAGCAGUAUGGUGGUUAGAUGAUGGCUCAAUUAUUACCAAUGGUAGGCGAGGAGUUCUCUGCACUGACUCGUUUUCACAUGAAGCGCAGAAAUUACUGAAACAAUAUCUCGAAAAAGUUUGGAACAUCAGUGUUAGCAUAGGCAAAAUUCGGCGAUAUCGUGAAAGUAAAGAGGUGACUUAUUAUCGAUUAUGGAUUCGAUCGAGCGAGCAGUUGCAGAAAUUGCUACGCAUCAUCCUGCCAUAUGUGCAGGUAGAGUCUAUGCUUCCUAAAGUGAUACUGUUAUAUAGUGAUUCCCAAUUGCAACAACGCUGGAUUUCUGAAGUGAGUAAGUUUUCCGGAUUUUCAGAAACCGUAGUAGAGAAGUACGCUACGGCAAAGAAAGCCAAAUGGAAACGCUUCAGAAAGUGAUAUAGUCCGAUCCUCUGGGUAACCAGAGUACAAUUACACGUGACCCGUGUAGUCCAGGCCCUAAACGAUGUCGACUAGUCAUGUGGAGUGUCGACCCUCCACGUGGCGUAGCUAACGCGUUAAGUCGACCGCCUGGGAAUUACGAUCGCAAGAUUAAAACUCAAAGGAAUAGACGGGGACCCGUACAACCGGUGGAGCGUCUGGUUUAAUUCGACAAUAAGCGAAGAACCUUACCACGGCUUGACAUGCUCUAGAAAGCUUCUGGAAACAGGAGCCCUCCUUACGGACUGGAAGCACAGGUGCUGCAUGGUUGUCGUCAGCUCGUAUCGUGAGACGUUCCGUUAAGUCGGGUAACGAGCGCUACCCCUGCUGUCUGUUAUAAGUGUCAGACAGGACUGCCGACUCUACGUCGGAGGAAGGCGGGGAUGACGUCAAAUCAGCAUGGCCCUUACGUCGUGGGCGACACAGGCGCUACAAUGGGUGGGACAAUGGGUUGCCAAACCGCAAGGUGGAGCUAAUCCCAUCAAACCCAUCCUCAGUUCAGAUUGGGGUCUGCAAUUCGACCCCAUGAAGUCGGAAUCGGUAGUAAUCGCGGAUCAGCCACGCCGCGGUGAAUACGUUCUCGGGUCUUGUACUCACAUUACACAACGCGUCGGGCAGUUUGUCAAACAAGCAGGUUAAAAUCCUGCCAAACUUUACACAACCGUCAAAAGUAGUAGUGAACAGCCAGUCUUAUAAGCGCAAGUUUGCAAGACAGAGGGGCUUAGUAACGAAUCGCAGCCUCGAGUAAACAAAAGCGGAAUCGAGCUAUGAGUGGGUGGUGAGCAUAGCGAAGAUUUAACGAUGUGCUUUCUUGGAUGCGAGGAAUUGUUUGUCAGAUAACCCCGAGAGAUCCUAUAGGGAGUUAUAUAGGUUAUUGCUCUAUAGGAAGUCAGCUGUGUCAUAGUAGUUACGGAAAAAUUGUGUUAUUUACCGUACGGAUUUUGUAUGGUACAAUGACAUUAUGAUUCAGAAUAACGAAGGACACAACCCAUUCAAUAUAAAAUGGGACUCGCCGUAUGCGGGAAAACCGCUCGUACGGUGGGAACGUCAAUUGCCAACCUUAGCAAAACUUUCGCCCGUCAACUCAGGAAAGUCAGCAAUACCCGAAGCACCUCCGAUAACAGGAGGUUCGAAGGUAAGGUUGAUGAUCAGGAGUAAGUCGUAAACUAGUUGCGACUGUAGAGAGUAAUCUCUAACAACAAACUCGGCUAUUUGCUGGAAAAACUGUGAAUCUUGUACUACUCAUUCGUUCAUAACAUAGAUAUUAUGCGCAUUGUGAGUGAAAAUGUAACAAGUGCAGCCAAUCAGCAGGGAAGUCCGCUGUCCGUUUCAAAUGGAUAUGACCCCUCAGAGACUACACGCCGAGCGCCUAGCGUAUCAGAGGUUCAACAUUAUUUCUGGGGAGUAAAACAUGAUGGAACAAAAGCAAAGCUCCAUAACAGCAUACGAAUUGCUCAAAAGGAGCGAGAAUGGCUUACGUUUCUUCAAAAAUUACUCAAACAUAUCGGCCAUAAUUCUUGGAUAUACAAAGAGGGCAAGGAACGCUCAGUAUAUAUUCUCGAAACCUAUGCCGAAUUCAUCCGACAGGAUAGGAAUCCCACAGACAUAAUUUCGAAAUCUGAUCAAAUUGCUUACAUUCGAGGCUUCUUUGAUGCCGAAGGCGGCAUACCUCAAAAAGGGCAAGCGAGAUUUUAUAUCCAGCUUGUUCAAAAGGAUUAUAAGAAGCUUCAAAUUAUUAAGGAUUGGCUUACUGCACUUGAGAUUGGUGUCGGAAAGAUACAUAAUCCAAGCGCAAGAGUUGAUCCACAUUAUUGGAGAAUGUUUGUUCGAACACAUUCCCACCAACGAUUCAUGAGCAUUAUUGGCUCAUGGCAUCCGCGGAAACAAGCAAUUUUCGAAUCUAGGAUGGUGAUAUAGUCCAUGCCUUAUGGCGACAUAGGGAGAAUCAUGAACAAGGUGUCCCUAGGGGAAUCUGGGGAUGGAUCACCUCCUU
rnacentral:rRNA from 1 species